rnacentral:rRNA from 1 species
UCAAAUUUGAAAUCUGCCAACAGGCCGAGUUGUAAUUUGUAGAUGGCUACACUGCAUAAUAGUAGAUGCUCAAGUUCUUUGGAAAAAGACAUCAUGGAGGGUGACAAUCCCGUGAGGCAUGUUACUAGGAGCAUAUAGUGGGCUUUCUAAGAGUCGAGUUGUUUGGGAAUGCAGCUCAAAGUGCGUGGUGAAUACCAUGUAAAGCUAAAUAUGGACGAGAGACCGAUAGCGAACAAGUACUGUGAAGGAAAGAUGAAAAGCACUCCGAAAGGAGAGUGAAAUAGUACGUGAAAUUGUUAAAGUGGAAGGGCUUGAGAUCAGAAUUGGUAGUUUGGGUUCCACGUCCUCUUGGGGGCGUGUACUCCCUUUCCACCGGGCCAGCGGGAGUUUCGUCUCUUGGGUAAAAGCAGUGGAAUGUAGCAGCUUGUCUGUAUUAUAGCCUCUGUUCAUACAAGACGUCGAGACUUGUUUUUGUUGGCGUAAUGAUCUCUAGCCACCCGU